rnacentral:snRNA from 1 species
AUGCUCACUUCAGCAGCACUUAUACUAAAACUGGAAUGAUACAGAGAUUAGCAUGUCCUCUGUGCAAGAAUGAGAUGAAAAUUCAUGAAGCAUUCCAUAUUUUU